rnacentral:tRNA from 1 species
GAGGGCAUAGCUCAGUGGUAGAGUGUAUGCUUAGCAUGCACGAGGUACUGGGUUCAAUCCCCAGCACCUCCA